GACCAACCCGCACAACAGCUCUCGCUACAGCUUUCAAGGAUGUCCUGUUGGGUUUUUUUCAAUACACCUGAUGAGAAAAUGUCUUACUAUCUCCAAGCAGUCCUGGACUCACCUUGAGCGGAUCUGCACAGAGACCACAGUAUGAAGGAGCGCGACGGAAAUAUGGACGACUUCCUGCCACUGUGUGGAGAAGAAUAGGAGUGAAUAUGUGUGUGUGCGAGUCUGAAAGGUCAGCUUUAUCGCAGGAGUUUGAGCUACCUUUGAGACUGUUUAUUGUGCGGCGCGAAUUGUGUCGAAGGAAAUUUGACAGGACAAUCGAACAAUGCCGCACAAAAAAGCCUUCACUUCCUUGUGUGCAAACUAGACAUAAUAUCUGAUUUUUAUUAUGCGUGCUAAAAUGUGUUUCUUUUCUUAGCAGUUUGUGUUGAAGAUUGACACUCACACUAUUGUUUAAAAUGGUAUUUUUAUUUUUUCACACUUUAGGUUUUAAAUGUAUGUAAAACUAAUCAUAUUGUACAAACAUUCAUAGAUUUUAUUUUAUUUUACCAAAAGCAAACAAAGAAAAAAAGCUGAAUAUCAGAGAGAUUUAAAAUGAUGAUGAUAAUAACAUUAAUAAUAACAAUAAUAAUAACAAUAAUAAUAAUAAUAAUAAUAAUAACAAUAAUAAACUUAAAGGCUACGCAAGUUUCACACCCAGUGGUUGAACUAGGGAUUGCAUUCCUGGAUCAAAACACACGCAAGUGC
rnacentral:lncRNA from 1 species